GGCCACGCCCGUCUGAGGGUCGGC
rnacentral:ncRNA from 4 species